UGGAAACUGUAAUCAAAUUGGAGAAGAGGAGAGAACAAAACUAUUUUGAAUUCCUGAAAAUGUUAUGAAAUAAGACACCUGACUAGAGAGAAAGAGUAUUUGUGUCAGUGCUGAGGAAAAGAUUAAGAAACUUUCUCACCAUUGGACAUCAAAGAAACAAUAUAGGCAAGAUGUGCAACUGGCUAAACUCCAUAUGCUCUGCUGCUCUGAGAACAGUGAUUUCAGCAUCUGUCUUAAGAGCAAGGGAACUUUCUGCAUCUGAUGAGUGGAGCAGCUCCAACAGAAGGGACAGACUGUGUUUUCUUCCCUUCCAUGUCCCCCUGGACCAUAAUGGGCUGUUUACCUGACAAGCAGAAGAGGGCUGAAGUCUUUGUUGCACAAAGGGGAGCAAACCAGAUCCUUCACCUCGAGAAGGAUCUCACCACUGAAAUUUUUACAUUAAAGUGAAGAAUAACAAGCCUA